rnacentral:lncRNA from 1 species
UUUGCAAUAUAAUGAUGCAUAAAUAGUCUUAAAAUCAGUUAUACAAAGCAUUGGGGAAAACAUCCUUUAUACAAAGCACGUGAUCGAUCAUCAAAAUCUCCAACUGCUGAGCUCUCUAUUCUCUUCCUCCUGCUUUUCUCUUAUACAAAGUUCCUCUAAAUAAAGCAUGAAAUAAUAUAAGGGAAAGGAAAAAGAGAAGAAAAAAGCGAGAGACAAAAAGAUGAAUACUAGAGCCAAGAAUGAAACAGUGCACAGGCCUACCCAACGUAUCUAUCUAUUAGCAGUAUUUCCAUCGGCACUUGCGUUGGAUUUGACGAAGGCAUUGGUCAGAGUUGAUGCGAAAAAAUGUAAU